rfam:Triticum aestivum genome assembly, contig: Triticum_aestivum_CS42_TGACv1_scaffold_556028_7AL
UGUGUACUCCCUCCGUCCGGAAAAACUUGUCUCUCAAAUAGAUGUAUCUAGCAUCAAGUUAGUGUUAGAUACAUCCAUUUAAGAGACAAACCUGGAACAAUUUUUUUUUGGACGGAAGGAGUAUGUG